GAGAUCAACUGGGGACCACUUAGACCACUUCAGUAUCCACGAGGCUGUGAUGUUGUUUGGGAUUCAUCCCAGUAUGUCCCAGAAGGAAACUCCAGCCCUGAUGAUCUAACUACAGUGCCAAGAAAAAUGUUGGAGAAGAUCAUACUGGAUCUGCUGGGAAAACAAUUCAAGGACAGUGCCUGCGUCAGGCACAGGCAGCUCAGGAUAGGAGAGAAAUUCCUGUCUAACUGGUUUCUUAUCCUGCUGCCAUAAGGUCUCCCAGCUCAGAGGUGAUGGGAAGGGAAAGCCUGUUCAUUUUGGGGAUUAUAGUAGGAGUUUUGUCUCUGUCCUUCACAGAAUCCUUCUGGAGGUGUCCAGCUGUUAGAUGAGCAGGGACAGGUUGUGCUGGCUGCUGUGCUGGAUUUAACCGGGAUAGGGAACUUUUUCUUUGCUGGAUUUGGAUUCAGAAUGGUAAUGGUGCAGAUAACACCCGGGAGAUUUGGUGGCUGCUGAGUGGGGUUUGCCCUCCUCAAGCACUUUGCAGCGUCCUGUGGGACAAUUCAGGACAAGGCACCAUCCUCGGGGAUGUUCCCUGUGCCUUCUGUAGGCAAGGAGGAAAAAGGGAGUCUGGAGGGUGAUGGUGUCACUUGGCACAGUCCAUUGUGGUGGAGACCAGGUGAGUGAGGGAUGAGGGGGCCCAAGUGAGAUCCCUCCAAAAAAGGGAGGUUACAGCCGCAAAAUGCCUGAAAAUUCAAGAGGGCUUUGUGUGUAAAAUACUGAGAACUGCAAAUAUUCCCAUUUUUUAUAUUCUGGGAAAUUUUAAUGCAUUUAAAAACCGAUUCAGAAAUAAAACCUUGUGUCUGCUGUGUUAUAGACAGGAUAUACACUGUAAGGAAUUCUGAUUACGGAGCUAGAGGGUUUAAAAAUACAAAUAUAUUUCUCUAUUCGGGGCCAAGGCCGGGAUAAAGUUUCCCGGAAAGAAACGCCGGAGCGCAAGCGCGGAGCCGGGAGCGGCAGCGGCGGAGCCCGGGGAGCAGCGGUGGCGGGCUCGGAGCAAAGAACUUCCCAAACUGCCUCCUCACCCUCAUGGACUGCAGGAGUGUCUUCCAUAGCUCCUGUUCAGGAAUGGCAGUGGCUGUGGGGAGCUCUGGCGGGAGCAGCUGGAGACCAGGUAAGAACAGAAAUGGGAUCAUUCCAGCUGCUGCUGGAGGCGGUUUUCCCUUUUCAGGAUGAUCCUCUGAUGGGUGUUUGCACAGCAGUGUUCUAGGGCAUGUGUGGGGGUAAUGGCAGGAAUUUUGAAACAGGUGAGAAGCAGAGGGGAAAAAAUGUGAAGCUGAUCUGUUUCUAGUAAUUCCAAACUUAUCCCACAGCACCAUUCUAGAGGAGAUCUGGGUAAGGGACAGAGAUGCAGAGGAACAAGUGUUCUAAAUCCCCCUGGAUUUCUGACAGAGCAAACCUUCCCGUGAUCCCAGCUGAUGUCUCUGAGAAACUGUGGGGUCCUAAGGAUUUCCAGGAAAGCAAAACAAGGACAGAGAUGAGGGAAUAGGUUUCCAAUUAAUAAUGAUUUGGUGGACAUGGGACUGAUUCUUGUAUGUUUGAUGCUCCCUGUUUUAUUACUGGAAUAAUUUUAAAGUGAUUCCUUUAAUAAAUCAUAUAAAUUUGAGAGGAAACAAUGGAAAAUUAAUGAAGGGAGAGAUUGUGGACUCAUCAUGGAAUGGUUUGGGAUGGAAGCCUCAUCUCUGAGCCUGUCCUGGGCUGGCUCCUGUCCUUGGACCCCUGGAAGGACAUGGAAAUGGUGGAGAUGUGCAGGGAAUGCCGGUUGGUUUUCCCUGCCUCUGGCAAUCUGGCCAUUAGGAAGACUAAUUGACCUCUCCCAGGAGGGAAACAUUUAAACAAGAGGUGCCAAAAAGAACUGGAGCUUCUGCACAAUGAGAUCUGCAGGAAUCCAACUUAAAAUCCUCCUGGAUUGUCACCAGUCCAACUUCCAUGGACUGGUCUCUGUGGUCAGGAGUGUCCAGUCCUGCUGGAAAUGCACUGGACCAGGAUGUCAUUUUCACUUUAUACACAUAAAGAACCUCUGGGUGACCCCCAGUGACUGGAAGGACCAGACUGGGCUCCCAGGGCACUAAUUCCAGGUGUUCUGGUUUUGGGAAUAGCACAGGAGCAGCAGACUGCCUUCCUUAGUCCACAAAUCCCCAGGAUGGACCACAGAGAAAAUAACAGGAAUGUGGAAAUCCCCCGCACAGGGAGUUUGUGGUGCUCUGGAUUACAUUUUGGAUUUACAAUAUUAAAGGGGGGGAGGUGUAGGGUUUAUUUCUCUUUCUCCUGUUCGUUGUUGUUCUCAGUGUUCUUGUUGCUCUCACUGUCAUUAUGUGUUGUCAUUAAUAUUAAAUGAUUGUAUUUGACUGGUUUCCAUUAUUAAAGUGUUGUGAGCUGGA